rnacentral:rRNA from 1 species
UACGGAGGGUGCGAGCGUUAUCCGGAAUCACUGGGCGUAAAGGGCGCGUAGGCGGUCUGUUAAGUCUGGCGUUAAAGCCUGGGGCUCAACCCCAGAUCAGCGUUGGAUACUGGCAGGCUAGACGGUUGGAGAGGCGAGUGGAAUUACCAGUGUAGCGGUGGAAUGCGUAGAUACUGGUAGGAACACCCAUUGCGAAGGCAGCUCGCUGGACAACACGUGACGCUGAGGCGCGAAAGUGUGGGGAGCAAACCGGAUUAGAUACCCCGGUAGU